rnacentral:rRNA from 1 species
CGACCGGCGCACGGGUGAGUAACACGUAUGAAACCUGCCCGUAGCAGGGGGAUAAGCGGAAGAAAUUCCGUCUAAUACCGCGUAACAGCCCAUGGAGGCAUCUCUGUGGGUUUAAAGGAAGCGAUUCCGGCUACGGAUGGUCAUGCGUCGCAUUAGCUUGUUGGCGGGGUAACGGCCCACCAAGGCGACGAUGCGUAGGGGUUCUGAGAGGAAGGUCCCCCACACUGGUACUGAGACACGGACCAGACUCCUACGGGAGGCAGCAG